rnacentral:lncRNA from 1 species
AAUCGCAGCAUAAACCGCAAGCGGUUUGAGCGAUUAAGAUCGGCAUGUAGUGGCCCACGAAAUCAGGAAAGUGGCCGAUCGUGUACAUAACCGAAUAACAAAGCGUGGGGUAUAAAUAGGCGAGUAACGUCUGGAAGAGAUUUCUUUUUUCAGCGAACAGAAUACCACUUUUCUAUUUCCACGCAUUUUCCUUGCUUUUCUAGGAGUAGUUUAUCUGUAAUCUUUCUUUUCCUGCAUUACUACUGUCUUUUCUAAGAGUAGUCUUUAAGUUAGAUUUUUAGAGUCUGUAUGCCUUAUAGGCACACUGAUCUCCUUUGUACGAGUUUCCAACUUUAAGUUUUAAUAUGUAAAGGUCAUUCGGCUCAUCAGCCUACCCAAAAUACUCUGUAAUAUCCUAUUCGGCUCAUUCAGCCGAACCGAUUUUGUAGUAGAAGGUUUCGAACUCGGCUGAUCCGAUCCCUCAUUAGCCGAAUCGCUUGAUCAGUCGAAGGGCGCAAACUUCGAGGGUCAUCACGUGAAGUCGUAUCAAUUACUUGCAUGCUUCCCAAAG